rnacentral:rRNA from 1 species
UACGUAGCAGCGAGCGUUGUUCGGAGUUACUGGGCGUAAAGAGUGCGUAGGCGGUUUUCUAAGUUUGGUGUGAAAUCUCCCGGCUCAACUGGGAGGGUGCGCCGAAGACUGGAAGGCUUGAGUAUGGGAGAGGUAAGCGGAAUUCCUGGUGUAGCGGUGAAAUGCGUAGAUAUCAGGAGGAACACCUGCGGCGAAGGCGGGUUGCUGGGCCGACACGUGACGCUGAUGCGCGAAAGCCAGGGAGCGAACGG